GGUCUCGUAGCUCAGUGGUAGAGCAUCGGUGGUUCAUUAGCGGUUGCGUAAGCAUUACACCGGAGGGUGCAUGUUCGAUUCAUGCCUGGACCA